UGAGAAGGUUGAGGCGUUGGAGCUUCGUCUGCAGUCUCUGAAGCUGGAGAAGGUGUGUGAGUGAGGUAGACCCCCUCCACUGCGCUGCAUGGAUCCCGUACGGAACAGUCGAGGCUGCGGUGGAGGCAGCUGGUCGUAGCCCUCGUCUUCCUCAUCAUCCUCCUCCAAGUCCACCUCGCUGCGUCUCAGAGAGUUCAAGGAGAAGCUGGAGCAGCGACGACUGGCCGUGGCCGAGGUGGACGCGUAGUCCUGACGCAGACCUAUGUAGCAGUUUGUAGCCCAUGGAAAUGGAGUCGUCCUCCAGCUCGGAGAUGCCCGCCUCGCUGUCUACGGAAGACUGGGGGCUGAUGGCCGCACGUUGCCGACCCACAUCUAAAACACAAACAUACAAGGGCAGAGUUUGACAGGAAGGUGGGGGCUCUGUCAUUGAGGCUGCAGCUGGUCCUGAGAGGGAGGGUGGACUGGACUAAAGGAGGCCCGGGUGAUGAGGAUGGAGAUGCUGCUAUCGGCGCUGAUGACAGAGCUUGGAUGUAGGGAGAGGAUGGAAAAAAAGCAGGCUUUAAUUCCGAUGGAAUAACAUGCAAAUCCAUUACUGGCAUGGAACCAGGAGUUCACAACAUUCAGAGAUAGAUACCUGGAAAUAACUCAUUGAUUCAUUGGUCAUUACAUUUCCCUUCUGUCAAUCAAGAAAAGUUGCCAAAUGCCCAUAAAAAACAUAUCCAGGCUUCCUUUAGCGUAGCAUAAAUUAGCUUAGCAGAUUUUAAAAUUUAAAAAGUUAUUUUUUGUUUUUCUCAAGCUGCUGUACCUAUCUUGGAGUCAUUGUGUGUCCAAUGUUUGAUGCUAAAAUCUAUUUUGCCUUUUAACAUAACUAAGGUUAGCUUAACAAGUUUAAAAAAAACAAAUUUUCUUCAUUUUUCCAAAGCUGCUGUGCCUUCUGCCUUGGCUUGUUGUAAUUCACUAAACUAAACUAAACU